GCGACCGGCGCACGGGUGCGGAACGCGUAUGGAACCUGCCCCUGUCAGGGGAAUAGCCCAGGGAAACUUGGAUUAAUGCCCCAUGGUACCGUUAUAUCGCAUGAUAUUUCGGUUAAAGAUUUAUCGGACAGGGAUGGCCAUGCGUACCAUUAGUUAGUUGGUGGGGUAACGGCCCACCAAGGCAGCGAUGGUUAGGGGCCCUGAGAGGGGGAUC
rnacentral:rRNA from 21 species